CAGCAGCAAAGUGAAGACCUCUCUACCUCCCUCUCCAUUAAUUCCUCACUGGCAUGUUCAGGAUCUUGGCCUCACUCCAGUUCAAGGAGAUUGGAACCACCUGGACCAUCUGGAUAUCCCACAGAAGACCACACUGACCCAUUAUUACACUGAUGAUAUCAUGCUGAUUGGGCAAGACAAGCAAGAGGAAGGAAGGCCCACAGAAGUUGCUGUGUGAACAUGUGUGGAGAUGUGAAUCCAUAUAGCUCAAAGGGUGGACUGUGACACAUAUGAGAGCUACAAAUGAAGACUUAGGAGUGUUCAUCAAAUAAGGAGUUGCAAGAAGAACACAGAAACCAGAUUUAUUGUAUACAUGAAAAAAUAAAAAGUACUACUCAAGGGAGGAUGGCGCUCUGAAGGAAGACUGACAUGUUCCUGGAAGGAAAGGCUGAAAACUGGGGUCCAUAUGUGAUAUUUUCUCAUGUCAAUUCCUCUACAUUAACUCAGUUUCCUAAGUUGCACUGAUUCCAGUCUAGUAUUUUCUUAUAUUUUAAGUAAAUUUUUAUACUGAAGUAUAAUAUUGACACAGAAAUGUACAUAAAUCAUUAAGCAUACAGCUCAAUUAAUUUGUAAAAAGUGAGCACACCCAUAUAAUCACUGCCCACGCCUGGAAAUAGAACUCUAG
rnacentral:lncRNA from 1 species